CAUAUAUUCCCUUAUACGGGCCUGACACAUGGGCCCUUAUGAACGGAAGUUUGCACGCCGUCGACGAAGCGAGGACCGAGCCGUGGCUCGAGACGUCGCCGGCGUCCUGAUCCGUGGAUCAGAUCAGUGGCUUUCCGGUAGCGGUGGUGGUUGACGCUGUAAAUGACGUAAGUGGGCCGCCGGCUGCUAGGGCAGUGAACUUGGAUUAGGCCUUCUUCCCAGGCGGUUGUAAGGUGGGGAAAUCUACUGCGGCGAAGGCGACUGCGGUCUCUAGCGAGCUCACGGGUACUCCGGCGGCCAUGGAGUUCCUGAUGCAACCGAUAAACAGAACACUGCUAGAGGAGGUGAAUGAUAACAACAGCACGAUGGAGCCCGUGCAGAUGUUGAGAUGCCAGUACCAGCAGCUUCUAGUGCGGACGGCCAGAACUGUCGUGAUGAAGCAGCUGUUGAGGGUGGAAGUGCAGAUAAGGCUCCGUGUUGGGAGCAGUCUAUAGAGCAAUUAGACCCAAAGACACGGGGGCGCCGGACACAAAGAAUGCGUGUGGUGCUGCUGCUCUAGGCAGGGCUCCUUGCGCAGCCAGGGUCACGGCUUCGGAGAAGACCGUGCGACACAAGCGCACAACUUGCCUUGAAUGCGGGGAUGUGCCAAAACAGCCACAUAAACCGGCUAGAUGCAAGAACUGUGGCGUUGAAGGGCACUGAUGGAACAACUGUGAGAAGCCAGCAGAACUUAGGCUGAAGUAAUUAUCUGGGACAUUUACUUAUAAGUCAGCAAAAUACUACUUUCAGAUAACCAGAACAUGCGUUUUUUCCUGUCUGGGUUGUAUGAUCUGUAAUCUGUUCAUCCGGAUUAGUUGGUUUCGUAUAUCUGUGAGAUGUAUGUGUUUUUUCCUGUCAGGGUUGUAAGAUUUCAGUUAUCUGAAUUUUUAUCUGAAACUAUUGCUGUGAUGCUUGCUUCUGCAG